ACAGAAUACGCCAGCAGGGGUGCCCGAGCGCGAGCGAGGGACCAACUGGAAAGCAAGCCGGUGAAAGACCGGCGCGGCCGCGCCACUGUGAUUGCUCCUUCUUGGGAAGAGACAAGAGCCAGAACGCCAGCCCCUGAACCGCCUACAGG
rnacentral:ncRNA from 2 species